rnacentral:rRNA from 1 species
ACAGGUGCUGCAUGGCCGUCGUCAGCUCGUGCCGUGAGGUGUUGGGUUAAGUCCCGCAACGAGCGCAACCCCGCCGUUAGUUGCCAGCGGUUCGGCCGGGCACUCUAACGGGACUGCCCGCGAAAGCGGGAGGAAGGAGGGGACGACGUCUGGUCAGCAUGGCCCUUACGGCCUGGGCGACACACGUGCUACAAUGCCCACUACAAAGCGAGGCCACCCGGCAACGGGAGCUAAUCGCAAAAAAGGUGGGCCCAGUUCGGAUUGGGGUCUGCAACCCGACCCCAUGAAGCCGGAAUCGCUAGUAAUCGCGGAUCAGCCAUGCCGCGGUGAAUACGUUCCCGGGCCUU